rnacentral:misc_RNA from 1 species
CUUGAAGUCCUCACAGUCAUGAUUUGCUAUGCCGUUACACAUACAAAUGUACUAAGUUGUGUGCCUCCAAAAGAUUCGGUGUGCAUGUCUGUUAUAUCACAGAUUGAUGAUUUUAAUUUAAAUUAGCUGGCCAUAUGAAAAUUUAAUGGGUUUUUUUUAUUCAAAAGAAAGGGGACCUUCCCUUGGAAUUAUAUUUGUCUUUAUGGUCACAAAGUGCCAUGCUGAUUUGUUCCAGAGUCUAGUAUUUUUAUUAAACUUGAUUAGUAAUUUGCUGUAGUAACUAGGUAUAGUUAAUAUAAUCACAUAUGUACUUUGGAAAUCUCUCUUUCAUAUCACAAGAAAUUACUGAAUGUAUGUUCAUACAUGUAUAAUGUGUAAGAGUUUGACUAUGAACAAAAAAAAGACCAAAAAACCAAUAUCUGACACUUUAAUAUUUGGUCAUCUUGUUUUUGUUUUAUUUUAUACAUUAAUUGUAUUGCUUUAACUAUAAUAAAACAUUGUCAGUGAU